rnacentral:rRNA from 1 species
GAGCUUGACUGCGAGACCUACAAGUCGAGCAGGGUCGAAAGACGGACUUAGUGAUCCGGUGGUUCCGCAUGGAAGGGCCAUCGCUCAACGGAUAAAAGCUACCCCGGGGAUAACAGGCUUAUCUCCCCCAAGAGUUCACAUCGACGGGGAGGUUUGGCACCUCGAUGUCGGCUCAUCGCAUCCUGGGGCUGUAGUCGGUCCCAAGGGUUGGGCUGUUCGCCCAUUAAAGCGGUACGCGAGCUGGGUUCAGAACGUCGUGAGACAGUUCGGUCCCUAUCCGUCGUGGGCGUAGGAAAUUUGAGAGGAGCUGUCCUUAGUACGAGAGGACCGGGAUGGACAUACCUCUGGUGUACCAGUUGUCGUGCCAACGGCAUAGCUGGGUAGCUAUGUAUGGACGGGAUAAGUGCUGAAAGCAUCUAAGCAUGAAGCCCCCCUCGAGAUGAGAUUUCCCAACUUCGGUUAUAAGAUCCCUCAAAGAUGAUGAGGUGAAUAGGUUCGAGGUGGAAGCGUAGCGAUACGUGGAGCUGACGAAUACUA